rnacentral:rRNA from 1 species
UACGUAGGGUGCGAGCGUUAAUCGGAAUUACUGGGCGUAAAGCGUGCGCAGGCGGCUUUGCAAGACAGAUGUGAAAUCCCCGGGCUUAACCUGGGAACUGCAUUUGUGACUGCAUGGCUGGAGUGCGGCAGAGGGGGAUGGAAUUCCGCGUGUAGCAGUGAAAUGCGUAGAUAUGCGGAGGAACACCGAUGGCGAAGGCAAUCCCCUGGGCCUGCACUGACGCUCAUGCGCGAAAGCGUGGGGAGCAAACAGG